rnacentral:siRNA from 1 species
AGCAAACAUUUGAUUGACGAGCUU